rnacentral:tRNA from 1 species
GUCUUAGCUCAAAUGGUUGAGCACCUGAGAAUGCAAUAUGUUUCCAAUGCAUCUCAAGAGAUGGUGGUUCAAAUCCACCAAGAUCCU